CAAACGGCCCUUUUCAGGGCCACUACAAUUUUCACGAAAGAGUUG
rfam:Culex pipiens quinquefasciatus supercont3.594 genomic scaffold, whole genome shotgun sequence.